rnacentral:ncRNA from 1 species
CCCGCUGAAUUUAAGCAUAUUAAUAAGCGGAGGAAAAGAAACUAACAAGGAUUCCCCUAGUAAUGGCGAAUGAAAUA